GCAGCUGGCAGAACCCGGGCACAGCAACAGACACAAGAUGGGCUCUAAGUACCCACGGUCCCUCCGCUGCUGCCUGCCCCUGUGGGCCUUGGAGCUACAGACAGCUUUUAGUCUCCUCUUCUGUUUUUUCAUCCCCCACGACACAGCCCAGGUGGAUCACAGGUUCAUGGCGAGCUAUCAAGUCCUCCGGAAUUUGACCCUCAUGGCAGCCUUGGGCUUCGGCUUCCUGUCCUCGUCCUUUCGGAGACACAGCUGGAGCAGUGUGGCCUUCAACCUCUUCAUGUUGGCCCUCGGGGUGCAGGGAACAAUCUUGCUGGACCAUUUCCUGGGCCAGGUCCUCCAAUGGAACAAGAUCAACAAUCUGUCCAGCAUCCAGAUAGCUACCAUGAGCACCUUACCUGUGCUGAUCUCAGCGGGCGCUGUCCUGGGGAAGGUCAACCUGGUGCAGCUGACCGUGAUGGUGCUGAUGGAGGCAAUGGCCUUUGGUGCCAUCAGAUUUGCCGACGAGAAGGUCUUCAAAAUGACAGAACACAUCAUCAUGAUGCACGGGCACGUGUUUGGGGCCUAUUUUGGGCUAACUGUGGCUUGGUGGCUUUCCAGAUCUCUGCCCAGGAGAGUGGGUGAGAACGCCCAGACAGAGAAGGUUCAAAUGGCUACGAGCUCCAGUCUGUUUGCCAUGCUGGGCACCCUCUUCUUGUGGAUAUUCUGGCCAGCUAUCAACUCUGCUCUCCUGGAAGGGACAAAGAAAAGGAAUGCUGUGUUCAACACCUACUACGCCCUGGCAGUGAGCGCAGUGACAGCCACCUCCAUGUCAGCCCUGAGUCACCCUCAAGGGAAGAUCAACAUGGUUCACAUCCACAAUGCAGUGCUGGCAGGGGGCGUGGCCGUGGGCGCCCCGGGUUGCCUGAUUUCUUCACCUUGGAUUUCCAUGGUGCUGGGCCUCAUAGCUGGGUUGAUCUCCAUCUGGGGAGCCAAGUGUCCACGGGUAAGGAGCUGAAAAGUCACCACUCUCUGCUUUGCCUCAAUCCAGUGGUAUCUAGGUCACUCGGUGGUUCGCGGAAACAUGCAGCAGGCGUGUUUGAACCACAUGCUGCAGAACUCCAGUGGGAUCCACUACACCUUCGGCUUGCCGGGUCUGCUGGGAGCACUUACCUACUACUGCCUUCAGAUAGUGACAGAGCCCAAGUCCUCGGAUCUCUGGAUCAUCACCCAGACGGUCACUCACAUUGGGGCUCUCAGCUUCGCUGUGGCGAUGGGUAUGGUGACUGGACUCCUCACAGGUUGUCUCCUAAGUGUCAGAGUGUGGAGGGCUCCCCGUGCGGCCAAGUAUUUUGAUGAUCAGACUUUCUGGGAGUUCCCACACUUGGCGGUUGGAUUUUAACCGAAAUCAUCUGAGAGCGAAGCCGGGUGAGAAGAGAGAUGCCCUUUCUUUGUGUCCCUUUUGUCUGCAUCCUGUGUUACAAGAAAGGCUUCCGAGUGGUCAUCUUAGUUUAAAUAGUAUGUUUGGUUUCAUGACAGAGACUAUUAAUACUUUGGGAUGAAUACACCUCAUUAAAGUUCUGGUCCAAUUCUA